CAGCCGCCGCGGUAAUACCGGCGGCCCGAGUGGCGGCCACUAUUAUUGGGCUUAAAGCGUCCGUAGCCGGGUUGGUUAGUCUCCCGGGAAAUCUGGCCGCUUAACGGUCAGAAUUCCGGGAGAUACUGCCAGCCUAGGGACCGGGAGAGGCCGAGGGUAUUCCCGGAGUAGGGGUGAAAUCCUAUAAUCCCGGGAGGACCACCUGUGGCGAAGGCGCUCGGCUGGAACGGGUCCGACGAUGAGGGACGAAGGCCAGGGCAGCAAACCGGAUUAGAUACCCGGGUAGUCCUGGCUGUAAACGAUGCGGACUUUGUGUCGGACAAGCUAUGAGCUUGUCCGGUGCCGGAGGGAAACCGUUAAGUCCGCCGCCUGGGGAGUACGGCCGCAAGGCUGAAACUUAAAGGAAUUGGCGGG
rnacentral:rRNA from 1 species